UGUCGUCAGCUCGUGUCGUGAGAUGUUGGGUUAAGUCCCGCAACGAGCGCAACCCUUAAGCUUAGUUGCCAUCAUUAAGUUGGGCACUCUAAGUUGACUGCCGGUGACAAACCGGAGGAAGGUGGGGAUGACGUCAAAUCAUCAUGCCCCUUAUGAUUUGGGCUACACACGUGCUACAAUGGACAAUACAAAGGGCAGCGAAACCGCGAGGUCAAGCAAAUCCCAUAAAGUUGUUCUCAGUUCGGAUUGUAGUCUGCAACUCGACUACAUGAAGCUGGAAUCGCUAGUAAUCGUAGAUCAGCAUGCUACGGUGAAUACGUUCCCGGGUCUUGUACACACCGCCCGUCACACCACGAGAGUUUGUAACACCCGAAGCCGGUGGAGUAACCUUUUAGGAGCUAGCCGUCGAAGGUGGGACAAAUGAUUGGGGUGAAGUCGUAACAAGGUAGCCGUAUCGGAAGGUGCGGCUGGAUCACCUCCUUUCUAAGGA
rnacentral:rRNA from 1 species